rnacentral:lncRNA from 7 species
ACGUGGAGCAAUGCAUUUGUGUGCGCUCGCUGGCGCGCAACCAAGAUUUUUCAGUGCGCGUCCAUGCAGCUGGAUCGGCUUUCCACCGGUAGGCGUAGCGUAGCUCCCACGAUACAAAUACAUCGAGUGGUCCGAACUUUUUGUAUUUUGUCUUUUUAUUGGAAAAAAUUCACGUUUAGAUCUUAAAAAAUUUUAAUGUUGUUUUUGAACCCUUUGCUCGGCGACAUAGACUAUGGCGCCGAAGUAACACAUCUCGGCGCCAUAGGCUAUAGCGCCGAGGUACGUGUUGCGCUGCCUCAAUUCAGACGACGUGGCGCCGACGUGGCACCGAGCUCGGCGCCAAGAUCUAUGGCGCCGAGCUCGGAUGUAUAAUGACAAAGCUCGUCUAGUUCAGUCGGUAGAGUCUUUGUCACUAAUUUUUUUUGUUAUCCAUAUUUUCGUUUAUGUUGCUGAUUUGUCCGUCAAAUUUAUUUCUCAUCUAGAUUUUUUUGUUUUUGUGACUGAUUUGUUUAUUCAUCUAGAUAUUUUUUGUUUUUAUUUUUGUUUAUUCAAACUCCGUGACGCAAGGACCAUGCACAUAGGGUGUGUUUGGUUUGACUUUUGGCUUUGGCUUUUGUCCCCUAAAAGCCAAAAGCCAAACCAAAGGGCUGGAUGAAGGAAGCAGCUUUUUCUAAAAGCCGACUUUCUCGCAGUGCAAAAAUGAAAGCACCCCUGGACCUGCUUUUAGUGACUUUUAGAUGGAACUGUAAAAACGUAUAUCGAAUAACUUUUAACGAUUUUUAGUGGUUUCGACCAAACGGUUUUUAGCUUUUUAACAGCUCACAGCCCACAGCAGCUUUUUCCACAGCUCACAGCCCACAGCAGCUUUUUCCACAGCUACAGCCCAACCAAACAGACCCAUAAUCUAUUGGAGCACUCCGUGUAUGUACCACUGUGCGCAGAAACUGCUUUCUAGAGAGUAGUUAAAUGGUCACUUUGUUUUAUGCGUCCUCUACUAGCAGUAGCUAAUAACUCAAUAAAAACGGGGAAAAUCUUGGGGGUACGGAUUGGAUAUGCGAAGGUGUCGAAGUCCACAGCUAGUUUGGACGUUUUCAGAUCAUUUUUCAUGUUUCAGUCUUCAACUACCGGCCGUCGUCUUUGCACAGAUCAAUAUUAUUUGCCUAAUUAUUUACUUGACAGUAAUGUUAGACGUAAGUGCAUUGAUUAAUUUAUGAAUUUUUUUAACUGUAUUAGAUGGUAGUUGUUAUAAUUACUGACAUGAUAGUUGUUAUAAAAAAAUAUGUGGUAGUAUUAUUUGCAGUGUUAUAGGUGAGAUGCCGGAUAUAACGUGGGAGUAUGGAGAGGAAAUUAGGGAUGGUUUUAGGUACAAGUAUUACCGUAAAGUGAAGAGCUAAAGAGAUGCUAAAAGAUUGAAGUAGUAGCAUCUGUAU